CAAGCCUUCCUAUAUCGCGGGCUCUUCUAUCGGUGUAGCCUUUGACGCACCUCUUACGGCCAUGUCUAAUGUGGUUCUAAGGAUUGUCUGAUUCCUUCCUGAUCCGAUGGUUUCAUACUAGAGCCCAUACGAUGUGAUGGAGCACCAACUUGCCAUGAAGCAGUGCCUCCCUCUGGAAUUCACUCCGGGCACUUGCAUUCAUACUUAGAGGGAUCAUUUCGAGCACGUACAUCAAUUUAUCGGCGCUGCGAGGAGGCAGUUCUUCAUCCUCAGCAAGGACUGGCAGAGGGACUAUGAGGGCUAUAGGGGCAAUUGGAUGACCCACAACGUCAUUUUGACACUUAGCAACAUCGAAUUGACACACUAACUCUUUAGGUAUCAGUCUUACAGACCCAAUAAAUGGAUACUGACUCGGAUGACGAGAUGGG